rnacentral:lncRNA from 1 species
UGUACGAAUUCCACAGCCAACCGCUCGCCGUACGGCUUGAACUUGCCCUGUCGUACAAGGCUCCCGCGUACGGCUGUUAAGUCAUUGAGUAUUAUGCACGCUUCUUGCGGGUUGUUGGUCAACUUGCAAAUCAUGAAUAGGGCAUCCUGGCCUGUUGUGCGUUGAGAUGCGGCGAUUGGGGAUGGUAUAAGUUCAGAACGAAAAAGGGGAUUGGAUGGAUGAUACAUGCCACAGCCAUGGCACCCAGAGUCUGGGUGCUCUCUUAAUGACGACAAACUGAUGCAUGAUAUGACGGGGCUGUAGAUGUGACAGCUUUCCCUGGUAGCAUGGUACGGUGUUGCUGACAGGUUCUGGUUCCUUUCAUGGAGCUAGCGAAUAGAUAUGUGUGGCAUCCUUGCUUGUUUGUGCGUCAUUUGUUUAUUGUUGCUUUUGUUACGUCAUCAUGUUACGUCAUCAUGUCGAACUUGGAGUUACUGACAGCUAGGGUGUGUCCCCAAUAUUAGCUCAACUUCAGCAGCAAUCUGGAGCUUGCGGAUUGCUG